rnacentral:lncRNA from 1 species
AAAAUCUAUAAUUUAUUGAUAUUUAUUAUGUUAUCUUGCUAAACUAUUUGUUACCAUAUAUAGAGGUAUUUUUGUCUGAAAAUUUAGAAGCUAAAUAAAAAUUUAUGGAAGAUAGAUAUUUUUUUUUUUUUUUGUUGGGUCUAUGAAUUGUAGUUUCCCUUUAUAAUUUUAAUUUUGAUUCAGACACUCACACAUGUUAGACUGGCUAUAUAUGGCAUAGUUUACUAAAAAGUUCAAUUUUUAAAGUUUG